UACGUAGGGGGGCUAGCGUUGUCCGGAAUCAUUGGGCGUAAAGCGCGUGUAGGCGGUCCGGUAAGUCCGCUGUGAAAGUCGAGGGCUCAACCCUCGAAUGCCGGUGGAUACUGUCGGGCUUGAGUACGGGAGAGGCGAGUGGAAUUCCUGGUGUAGCGGUGAAAUGCGCAGAUAUCAGGAGGAACACCGACUGCGAAGGCAGCUCGCUGGAACGUUACUGACGCUGAGACGCGAAAGCGUGGGGAGCAAACAGG
rnacentral:rRNA from 1 species